AUUGAACGCUGGCGGCAGGCUUAACACAUGCAAGUCGAGCGGGGGAAGGUAGCUUGCUACCGGACCUAGCGGCGGACGGGUGAGUAAUGCUUAGGAAUCUGCCUAUUAGUGGGGGACAACAUCUCGAAAGGGAUGCUAAUACCGCAUACGUCCUACGGGAGAAAGCAGGGGAUCUUCGGACCUUGCGCUAAUAGAUGAGCCUAAGUCGGAUUAGCUAGUUGGUGGGGUAAAGGCCUACCAAGGCGACGAUCUGUAGCGGGCCUGAGAGGAUGAUCCGACACACUGGGACUGAGACACGGCCCAGACUCCUACGGGAGGCAGCAGUGGGGAAUAUUGGACAAUGGGGGGAACCCUGAUCCAGCCAUGCCGCGUGUGUGAAGAAGGCCUUAUGGUUGUAAAGCACUUUAAGCGAGGAGGAGGCUACUUUAGUUAAUACCUAGAGAUAGUGGACGUUACUCGCAGAAUAAGCACCGGCUAACUCUGUGCUAGCCGCCGCUGUAACAC
rnacentral:rRNA from 1 species